UUUUAUAAAUGAUAACAAGGAGAUACUUCAUUGUUAAGCUUCUCAAUUCCUCUAAAUAAAUUUUCUGCUCAAGAGGCCUAGUUCAAUAAAAUGUUAACUGCUUGUGUCCUACAUUAAUGCAGCCAGGCUGCCUUGCUUUAAGGAUGGAAUAAUACUGCAACGAGAGCAGGUAUUUGUGUAAAAUAGCUGAAUGUAACGUGCACGUCAUGUAUUUCCAACUCCAUGCUGGUACUGCUUUGAAAAACACCGUUCCUCUGUAGAAUCUGAAGGCAGUUUUCUGGUUUGAUCUUAGCUACUCAGAGACCAAAGGUGAAACCUCCUCCUCCUUACAUUGCAAUCCAAGGAACAGUGGAGGGUAAAUACAUUUUUUUUUGUUUUUCUUUUCCCCUUCCAUCACCUGAUGUCAUUUUCACCUGCUUUGAGCAAUAUCUGGGUUUGUUAAUGUACGUUGGCUUGCGAAAACACUUGUCAUGCUAGUUCCAUGAUUCUGAUGGCUGAACCGCUGCUUUUGCUGUCACCUGGGAAUCAUUUUUUUGCAGGGCCAUUUAGCAGAAAGAAUCUAUCACACCAUGCCUUGCUUGUCUGUGCGUCUGUCUCUACACGUGUUUUUUCUUCAGAAGCUUCUUUCUAGAAUGAAACGUUCCAAUAUGGCAGAAAGAUAACUCUACUACUACUGGUGUUGCUGUUGAUGUGGUGUAGGUGUUCCAGAGCUUCCUUACAAGGAGUCAGUUACCCCUUUUUCCUCUUUUGUUCCAGAGACUUGAGCAUUUAAGUUCUAGCUGGAUGAGUAGGUGUGUUGCUCAUUGGCUUAGGGACUAACCUAAGGGAAGACUUGGGGUUUCCAGAUGUCAUGGGGAGUGGUGCGGACUUAGGUAGCCUGUUCUGGCAGGACUGUGUAGGUAUCUCAAGAUCAUUUCCAUGUCUGACCGUAGCAACCCAGAGAUGGGCUCCGGAAUCCACCUCGUCUGCUUCACCGGAAACCACGAGGACUAUGAUGGCUACCCGGCGACCAAGGCUGAAAUCCACCUCUCCUUCCCCCCUGGCAACCCAGC
rnacentral:lncRNA from 1 species